UAGGGAAUCUUCCACAAUGGACGCAAGUCUGAUGGAGCAACGCCGCGUGAGUGAAGAAGGGUUUCGGCUCGUAAAGCUCUGUUGUUAAAGAAGAACGUGGGUAAGAGUAACUGUUUACCCAGUGACGGUAUUUAACCAGAAAGCCACGGCUAACUACGUACAG
rnacentral:rRNA from 1 species